GGAGACCAACAGAUAAGGCUGGCACCAGGGCGCGGACGUUAUUGCCUUAUUGCCGAUCUGCAUCUUCGGUUCUGCUCCUCCAGAAUCCAGAAGUGGACUAAUGGGAGAAGCUGCUGGUAAAAAGCUGCGCAGGUGGGAUCGUUUACCAAUUACCACCUGGGUAGCAUCAUCGAUGAGGCUAUCCCAGGAAGAUGCUAAAGAGGGUUCAUCCUCAAGCAGGCUGGUCAAAUGUCGGAGUUGGAAGCAAUGUUACAAAAGGGUGUCAAGUUUGAGAUUGAGGCACUAUCUGCAAGCUCCAUUUCUUGUUUAUCAGACAAAUACAUCCCCCAGAAGAUCAAACAAGUCAUAUAUAAUAUUGGACAUAAUCCAUAAUCGUAAUGUCCAGAAUGUGCCUUACUGAAUAGGAUCUUGUUUUGUUUGACUAUAGCUAUGCACUUGUGUUGCCUGAAUGUAGUUUAGUAUAGUAGUUACAUGACUGAUCAUGUAAAUAAACAUAUCUUUUAAGUUGUAUUUCGUGUGGUUGGAAGGUAACUCGCCGCAGGAAUUUGACUACAGGAA